rnacentral:ncRNA from 1 species
UUUAUGGAGAGUUUGAUCCUGGCUCAGAGUGAACGCUGGCGGCGUGCCUAAUACAUGCAAGUCGAACGAUGAAGCCUAGCUUGCUAGGUGGAUUAGUGGCGCACGGGUGAGUAACGCAUAGAUAACAUGCCCUUUAGUUUUGGG